rnacentral:rRNA from 1 species
CCGUACCCUUUGGUGUGGGACAACAGCUCGAAAGGGCUGCUAAUACCACAUGAGUCGGCGAGGUCUUCGGAUCUUUCCGGGAAAGGUGGCCUCUACUUGUAAGCUAUCGCCAGAGGAGGGCCCGCGGCCCAUCAGCUUGAUGGUGAGGUAACGGCUCACCAUGGCUUAGACGGGUAGCUGGUCUGAGAGGAUGAUCAGCCACACUGGGACUGAGACACGGCCCAG